rnacentral:lncRNA from 1 species
GGGGUGUUGUUCUGUGUUCUGUUUAAAGUAGAUCCAAAGUUGGGGUUGGACACCCUUUCCAAUUCUUACAGAAAAGUGUUAAACACAAUGUUAAACUGCCAUACUUUUCACAGCACAAGGUGCAAAUUACAGAAAAGUUAAUAAAUAAAUAUUCUUCGGCAAUGUUUUUGUCCGCAAGAGAUGUAAAGAGAAGCUGGUUAACUGAGGUAUACUUGAAAAAAUGCAAGGGUGUUUAACGGUUUUUUUUUUU